GGUGAAGAAUGAAGAGAAUAUCAGUAGGGAAGAAAACUAUGUAGUGUGAGAGGUCCAUCAAGAAAUAAGCCAUGCUGAACUCCAGGACCCUAUUAUGGAAGGUGGAGUUUGGAGAAGCAAAAGCAUACGAAGUUUGGGUGUGGAGUAGUGCACGGACAGCAAAGAUAACAGCAGGACUGCCAUGAGCUAGGGACAUAAAAGAGCUUGAAGCUUCUGCUCUGUUUUUU
rnacentral:misc_RNA from 1 species